GGGCGAAUCGGGGAGAGGUGGAGUGGAACAGAGUUUACCGCCAAAGAGAGUAACCCUACGAAGAUCUUUGUUCCCGCCUCCUGGAAACCUGCCUGCAGUUGGAAUGUGUCAAUUGGAGUGAGAAGGGGGACGAAGGCCAGUGGGAAGAGGAGGAGAAACUCCCCCUCCAAGGUUUCAUCCUUGCUGAGGAAGGUGAUGGAUUACCGCUACGCCCUGGUGUGAAAAUGGCUGAAUUGACCCAUCAACUAUCCAACAGGCUGAAUUGUCCUGACCAAUAGGAGAAAAAAUUGUUAAUUUCAGAGUGUAAUUGUUAAUUUCAGAGUGUAAUUGUUAAUUUCAGAGUGUAAGUGUAAAAUUUUAAGUUGAAAAUACACUGCAAAAGUUGAUUUUACUGUAGGAGUGUAAACAAAUAACAAAUAUGUAAGGGAAGAGUGUUGGUCUGAUGUAAUAUUUAUUUUGGUUUCCACUGCUUUAUAGUUUCUGUAAUCACAAUUAGGCUUUCAAUAAUUCGUUUUGUAUGUAAGGAAUCAAUAUAACAUGAGUUUUUUUAUUAUUGAAUCGAUGAAAUAUGAAAAUUAUAAUUUUCUAAUUAUAAUUUUAUUUGAAAUGUAAAGGAGGAUGAUCCUCCCUUUCCUCAAUGGAAGAGCCUCCAUGAAUUGGUAGUUGUUGAAAAUGACUUGAGUAAUUGUGAUUUUAAUGACAUAUGUAUGAAUUUAUAUCUUAAUAUAUGAA